rnacentral:rRNA from 1 species
GAUGAACGCUGGCGGCGUGCCUAAUACAUGCAAGUCUAGCGAACAGACUAGGAGCUUGCUCCUUUGACGUUAGCUGCGGACGGGUGAGUAACACGUGGAUAACCUACCUAUACAACUGGGAUAACUUCGGGAAACCGGCGCUAAUACCGGAUAACAUUUUCAACCGCAUGGUUCAACAGUCAAAGCCGUUCUUGCUGUCCCUUAUCCAUGGAUCCGCGCCGCAUUAGCUAGUUGGUAAGGUAACGGCUUCCCAAGGCAACGAUGCGUAGCCGACCUGAGAGGGGGAUCGGCCACACUGGAACUGAGACACGGUCCAGACUCCUACGGGAGGCAGCAGUAGGGAAUCUGCAGCAAUGGGCGAAAGCCUGAAGGAGCAACGGCGAGUGAGUGAAGAAGGUCUUCGGAUCGUAAAACUCUGUUAGUAGGGAAGAACAAAUGUGUAAGUAACUAUGCACGUCUUGACGGUACCUAAGCAGAAAGCCACGGAUAACUACGUG